GGUACUGAGCAUGGGAGCAGAAUCAGACACCCCGAACUGACAGGGCUCACAGACGAGAAGGGGAGACAGUUCUCAAUCAUAGAAAUCACUUGUUCUCACAAACGGUGACACGUGCUAUGAAGAAAAAGGCCUGAGAACUAGGAGGGCAUCUAGAGGCGCCCUUUCUGGUCUAGGCGUCCUACAGGCAGCUGGAGGAAGACGUCUGAGCUGACAUCAGAUUCAUGGGGUGGACUCCUAGGAGCGGGAUGGCUGGGUGAAGGAUAUGAACUCUGUUAAGGGUUUUGAUGCAUAUUGCCAAACCACUUUCCAAAAAGCCCGUGAUGAUUCCUCCCCGAUCGGCAGCUCACAGGUGCACCUUUCCCCACGCAGGAGGACUUCUCACCUAACUUUACUCAGGCGUUAACAUCUGAGCUUUUUCUGACUCAAUUCCUGUUAAAUGUCUAUAACUGCGGGGGAGUCUUCCAGUUCUACAGAUGCAUGGAAUCUGCGUUGUGUGGUGAGGAGAGGCAGCUGAUGGACCCACCCUGCCUGGAAGAACAGCACCGUGGGGAAGCGCAAAGGGCUGGGC
rnacentral:lncRNA from 1 species